AAAAAGGAUAAAAACCCAAAGAAAGAUCCAUUUUUUAAUGUUAAUAUGAGAUUUAGCUGGAAAUAUAUUUUGUUCAAAUUCUAGGCAACGAUUAUGCUCCGUCGUUACCUCUCUCCCCUCUCGCUUUCUCUCGGGACCGCCGCCGCCGGUGGCGAAUUUUCACCGUAGCACACAGUGUCCGUGUGGAUCUGGCUUUUCUCAUUUAGGUUGCACUACUUAUUAUGCUGCGUGAAGUAGAAGGUAGCUUGCUCGUCGUUAAAAAGCUAAACGAAAACAGAGAGGUACGAACGAGCGAGAUCGCGACCUCCCUUUUGAAGCAGCUAUCACAUUUCACUAACCUGCAAAAACGGCUACUUAAUCGAAGUGACCAAACUGAUUAGCAUAGGGAAUGGGGAGUGCAAGUUCAGCCCCGCAGUACAUCAUUUUUCCUGGUGAACUUCCUCUGCAAUUUCUUCACGCCCGUCGAGGGGGAAGUGAUGGACGGGGUAGUGUAUAGAGUAAUCGGGGGCGGUGUGUUUAUCAAGUCCGGACCGAUGAGUUAUGUCUAUUUAUCGGACCGGAAGAUGCCGAAUUACAAUUACGUUUUGGGGGAGAAUCGAAACCCGAGGUAUGUGGGGGUAGAUUUGUCCAGGAUUGAGAUUGGUGUUUUGGUUCGAUUUAGGGUUUUGGCUGCUAAGUGGGUGGAGGAUAAGUAUAGGGAGUUUCGAGUUCUUGCGAGUAUUGAUGGCGAUGGGCUGGGCCCGGUUUCGAUGAACGGGUUUGACGGUGUCGAUUAUGAAAUGCCUUGCAGCAAUAUUAUAUAAUAUAGUUUGGUGAAAUAUUUAUAUAUGUUGCUUUUGUAAAUAAAGUUUUAGAUGAAUGUGUGCUCAUAGUUGCAAGAUUGUGUACUUAAUUUGUUUCAAAUUAGUUUUCGUAUAAGAUUUUGGCACCCGGCUUGUUUCGUUAUAUAUAUAUCGGAUAAGUUUAUAUUAGAUGAGAUUGGAUUAA